rnacentral:sRNA from 1 species
UGAUUUAUAUUAUAGGGGAAAGAAAAAUAUUGAUCGCUAAAUACAUUUAUUUCAGAUAUUAGAACAGAUACUAGCGAAUAAAAAUCAGAAACGGGCAAUCCGAAUAGUAAAAAACACAACCUGAAUUAUUUUUGAUACCUAUUGAUUUGAAUGGUGGCUGCGUUUUGCGGUGCAGGAGAAGUGCGGUGCGGUUCAAAUAGUAACGAAAAUAUAUAGAUACAUAUGUAUAUGUAAAGAUUUUGAUACUGUUACAGCACUGUUGCGGUACGGUUUUGGGUGCGGUCUAUGUCACCAUUAAUGGCCAUAACGAAAUGAAAAUUUCAUGUUACGAGAUGGAAUUCAGAUUGGGUUAAAUUCAUGUAGCCAU